AAUUUUAAUAAAAUGCUCCGCAGGGCGCAGCUUGAUACGACCGCAGAGGUCGAACCCUGAACAGUUGGGGCAAGUAUGGACACAACAUUCAAGCUUGAUACAGCUCUGAAUUUGGAUUGUGAUUAAAUAUUUGACACAGCAUAGGUUUCUGACACAGAAUGAAUGUGGUCUAAGAACUUAAAAAUUUUAAAUUGGACAUUCACCUAUUAUGGUCCAAUAUCCAAAAUCUAAAUACAUGGUUAGAUUCAGCAUAUCAAAGAACCCCAAGAAUUCAAUUUUUGAUGAAAUCAAACAAAGUUUAAUUUUGGACCCUUUUGACCUCAAUGUGGACAAAGUUGAUAACGGGGCCCAAAAAUCAAAAAUCUAAAUACAUGCUUAGAUUCAGCAUAACAAAGAACCCCAUAUAUAUUUAAUUUUUGUUGAAAUCAAACAAAGUUUAAUUUUGGACCCCGAUUUGGACCAACUUGAAAACUGGGCCCAUAAUCAAAAGUCUAAAUACAUGUUUAGAUUCAGCAUAUCAAAGAACCCUAAGAAUACAAUUUUUGUUAAAAUCAAACUAAGUUUAAUUUUGGACCCUUUGGACCUUAAUGCAGACCAAUUUGAAAACAGAACCAAUAAAAUGUUUCGCUGGGCACAGCUUGAUACGACCACAGAGGUCGAACCCUGAACAGUUGGGGCAAGUAUGGACACAACAUUCAAGCUUGAUACAGCUCUGAAUUUGGAUUGUGAUUAAAUAUUUGACACAGCAUAGGUUUCUGACACAGAAUGAAUGUGGUCUAAGAACUUAAAAAUUUUAAAUUGGACAUUCACCUAUUAUGGUCCAAUAUCCAAAAUCUAAAUACAUGGUUAGAUUCAGCAUAUCAAAGAACCCCAAGAAUUCAAUUUUUGAUGAAAUCAAACAAAGUUUAAUUUUGGACCCUUUUGACCUCAAUGUGGACAAAGUUGAUAACGGGGCCCAAAAAUCAAAAAUCUAAAUACAUGGUUAGAUUCAGCAUAUCAAAGAACCCCAUAUAUUCAAUUUUUGUUGAAAUCAAACAAAGUUUAAUUUUGGACCCCGAUUUGGACCAACUUGAAAACUGGGCCCAUAAUCAAAAAUCUAAAUACAUGUUUAGAUUCAGCAUAUCAAAGAACCCUAAGAAUUCAAUUUUUGUUCAAAUCAAACUAAGUUUAAUUUUGGACCCUUUGGACCUUUAUGUAGACCAAUUUGAAAAUGGAACGAAAAAUUAAGAAUCCAAAUACAUGGUUAGAUUCGGCAUAUCAAAGAACCCCAAUAAUUCAAUUUUUGAUGAAAUCAAACAAAGUUUAAUUUUGGACCCUUUGGACCUCAA